GAUGAACGCUGGCGGCGUGCCUAAUACAUGCCAGUCGAGCGAACAGAUGAGGAGCUUGCUCCUCUGACGUUAGCGGCGGACGGGUGAGUAACACGUGGAUAACCUACCUAUAAGACUGGGAUAACUUCGGGAAACCGGAGCUAAUACCGGAUAAUAUAUUGAACCGCAUGGUUCAAUAGUGAAAGACGGUUUUGCUGUCACUUAUAGAUGGAUCCGCGCCGCAUUAGCUAGUUGGUAAGGUAACGGCUUACCAAGGCAACGAUGCGUAGCCGACCUGAGAGGGUGAUCGGCCACACUGGAACUGAGACACGGUCCAGACUCCUACGGGAGGCAGCAGUAGGGAAUCUUCCGCAAUGGGCGGAAGCCUGACGGAGCAACGCCGCGUGAGUGAUGAAGGUCUUCGGAUCGUAAAACUCUGUUAUUAGGGAAGAACAAAUGUGUAAGUAACUAUGCACGUCUUGACGGUACCUAAUCAGAAAGCCACGGCUAACUACGUG
rnacentral:rRNA from 1 species